rnacentral:rRNA from 1 species
GACGAACGCUGGCGGCGUGCUUAACACAUGCAAGUCGUACGGUAAGGCCCUUUCGGGGGUACACGAGUGGCGAACGGGUGAGUAACACGUGAGUAACCUGCCCACAACUUUGGGAUAACGCUAGGAAACUGGUGCUAAUACUGGAUAUGUGCUCCUGCUGCAUGGUGGGGGUUGGAAAGCUCCGGGGGUUGUGGAUGGACUCGCGGCCUAUCAGCUUGUUGGUGGGGUAGUGGCCUACCAAGGCGGCGACGGGUAGCCGGCCUGAGAGGGUGACCGGCCACAUUGGGGCUGAGAUACGGGCCAGACUCCUACGGGGGGCAGCAGUGGGGAAUAUUGCACAAUGGGCGCAAGCCUGAUGCAGCAACGCCGCGUGCGGGAUGACGGCCUUCGGGUUGGAAACCGCUUUCAGCAGGGACGAAGCUUUUUGUGACGGUACCUGCAGAAGAAGCACCGGCUAACUACGUG